UACAGAGGUCCCAAGCGUUGUUCGGAUUCACUGGGCGUAAAGGGUGCGCAGGUGGGUUUGCAAGUUCGAUGUGAAAGCCCCGGGCUUAACCCGGGAAUGGCAUUGGAUACUGCAGAUCUGGAGGAUCGGAGGGGGGACUGGAAUUCUUGGUGUAGCAGUGAAGUGCGUAGAUAUCAAGAGGAACACCAGUGGCGAAGGCG
rnacentral:rRNA from 1 species